UAAGCACAAGGGAAUGAAUGUCUCCCGCGAGCAAUCGAAACCGCUAUUAAGCUGAUGACUUCUAUCUUAUU
rnacentral:ncRNA from 1 species